rnacentral:rRNA from 1 species
AACGAACGCUGGCGGCAGGCUUAACACAUGCAAGUCGAACGCCCCGCAAGGGGAGUGGCAUACGGGUGAGUAACGCGUGGGAAUCUACCCAUCUCUGCGGAAUAGCUCUGGGAAACUGGAAUUAAUACCGCAUACGCCCUACGGGGGAAAGAUUUAUCGGGGAUGGAUGAGCCCGCGUUGGAUUAGCUAGUUGGUGGGGUAAAGGCCUACCAAGGCGACGAUCCAUAGCUGGUCUGAGAGGAUGAUCAGCCACAUUGGGACUGAGACACGGCCCAAACUCCUACGGGAGGCAGCAGUGGGGAAUAUUGGAAAAUGGGCGCAAGCCUGAUCCAGCCAUGCCGCGUGAGUGAUGAAGGCCUUAGGGUUGUAAAGCUCUUUCACCGAUGAAGAUAAUGACGGUAGUCGGAGAAGAAGCCCCGGCUAACUUCGUGCCAGCCGCCGCAGUAA